GACGAACGCUGGCGGCACGCUUAAAACAUGCAAGUCGAACGUGAAGCCCGGGCUUGCCCGGGUGGAAAGUGGCGAACGGGUGCGUAACACGUGAGCAACCUGCCCCGAAGACUGGGAUAACACCGGGAAACCGGUGCUAAUACCGGAUGCCUUCACCAUGUCGCAUGGCGAGGUGAAGAAAUGGAUUCCGCUUUGGGAUGGGCUCUCGGCCUAUCAGCUUGUUGGUGGGGGAAUGGCCUACCAAGGCAACGACGGGUAGCUGGUCUGAGAGGAUGUCCAGCCACACUGGGACUGAGACACGGCCCAGACUCCUACGGGAGGCAGCAGUUAGGAAUCUUGCGCAAUGGGCGAAAGCCUGACGCAGCGAUGCCGCGUGCGGGAUGAAGGCCCUCGGGUCGUAAACCGCUUUCAGCAGGGACGAUUAUGACGGUACCUGCAGAAGAAGCCCCGGCCAACUACGUGCCAGCAGCCGCGGUAAAAC
rnacentral:rRNA from 1 species